rnacentral:rRNA from 1 species
UUUAUGGAGAGUUUGAUCCUGGCUCAGGAUGAACGCUGGCGGCGUGCCUAAUACAUGCAAGUCGAGCGAACGGAUGAGAAGCUUGCUUCUCUGAUGUUAGCGGCGGACGGGUGAGUAACACGUGGAUAACCUACCUAUAAGACUGGGAUAACUUCGGGAAACCGGAGCUAAUACCGGAUAAUAUUUUGAACCGCAUGGUUCAAAAGUGAAAGACGGUCUUGCUGUCACUU